GAUGAAGAACGUAGCGAAAUGCGAUAAGUAAUGUGAAUUGCAGAAUUCAGUGAAUCAUCGAAUCUUUGAACGCACAUUGCGCCCGCUGGUAUUCCGGCGGGCAUGCCUGUUCGAGCGUCAUUUCAACCCUCAAGCUCUCCGGAGUUUGGUGUUGGGGCGCCUGGGGCUUUUCGACCUCAGGGCCCUCAAGUCCAUCGGCGGGACCGCCAGGACACUGAGCGCAGUAGUAUUAUUUCGCUCGGUAGGAUCUUCCAAGGCGGGUCGAUCUGGCCGCUAAACCCCCCAAUUCUCACCAAAGGUUGACCUCGGAUCAGGUAGGAAUACCCGCUGAACUUAAGCAUAUCAAUAAGCGGAGGA
rnacentral:misc_RNA from 1 species